UAUAUAUAAGCAGAUAGAAAUGAGGAAGAGCCGAAGAUCUAGACAGGAGCCAGCAAAAACCUUUCGCAUUUGGCGUCGCAGAUCGCCGACGUGAGUCCGGAGUGCGCAAGCUGGGGGUUUUAUCUUAUUCUGCAGCAGGGAUUUGGGAUCAGUCUCUUUGGAUUGCCCGGUGAGUUUAGACUAUGGAAUCUGAUGGCGGACGCGAACCGAUCCGGUCUGCCGCGGCGGAAGAGGAGGUGCUGAAGAGGAAGAAUACAGAUUGCGUCUACUUCUUGGCUUCGCCAUUGACCUGCAAGAAGAAUAGUAAAAGAAGGAGAAGGCAUCUUCUUUUAGAUCAGCUUAUCUCAGGCACACCAGUUACAAUGAGGAAUGGCAAUGGGAUUUAGCUAAAACAAGCAUAUCGAUAAAGCAUUUUAAGGAAGGCAAUGAAGGUGUAGCACAGAUCAAACAGGAGAUGGGAAUGCAGCAGGACCAGCAUGUGGCAUCCAUCCAGAAAGGCUAGUAAGAAAACUAGGGAAAAGAGAAAUAGGUUUUCAUCAAUUCCAGUUGUUGAAGAGGCAUGAAGCGUAUUUUUCCUGGUUAUUGUCAAACUACAACUCUUUAGGAAAUGUGUAAGGAGCCAACAACAACUAGGAAUCCAUGCCGAGGUUCCAGAUGCUUGAAGUCGCUGGAGAUAAAGGAGAGAUUGGUUUUAAGGUUUACUUUGUAGGAAAUCUCAUAGAGGAGAUAUGGUCAACUCCCAAGAUUGGAGACAAUGGUGGGCUCUAGAUUAAAAUAUUUCUGCUUGAUUAACACAUAGCCUAGUCUAGAUUUCAUCUCUUGUUCAUGGUCAAAAACUACAUGUAUCCUUUCCUGUUUAUUAGUGAUUUUUUUACCAUGGCAAAAACCUAUGAUCCUUUAAGGGGUUUUUCCAUAUAAACCUUUGUGUGCCUAUAUGCAAGGAAUGAAAUGUCAUUCCGUGCCGCCCGGCACGGACGGUUUUACCAUUCCGCCGAGCAGCCGAAAUCGGCACAGGAGGCAUCCCCAUCUCAACGGCACCGGAGGAGACGCGGGACACCUCUGGCGGCGCCGGAGGAAAUGCGAGACGGAUUCGGCAUCAAAGGCGUCGCCAAAAGCGUCCAGCGGCUUCGAAGAGACUUUU